AGAAAUGCCUCCAUGAGAUCCAACUGUAAGGCAUUUUCCCAAUUAGUGAUAAAGGGGAAAAGGCCCCUUGUGGGUGGGACAAUCUCUGGGCUGGUAGUCUUG
ensembl:miRNA Mir3471-2 microRNA 3471-2